AGUGAACGCUGGCGGUAGGCCUAACACAUGCAAGUCGAACGGCAGCACAGUAAGAGCUUGCUCUUACGGGUGGCGAGUGGCGGACGGGUGAGGAAUACACCGGAAUCUACUUUUUCGUGGGGGAUAACGUCGGGAAACUUACGCUAAUACCGCAUACGUCCUACGUGUGAAAGCAGGGGAUCUUCGGACCUUGCGCGAUUGAAUGAGCCGAUGUCGGAUUAGCUAGUUGGCGGGGUAAAGGCCCACCAAGGCGACGCUCCGUAGCUGGUCUGAGGGGAUGAUCAGCCACAGUGGAACGAGGACGCGGUGCAGACUCCGAAGGGAGGCAGGAGUGGGAAAUAUUGGGCAGGGGGCAGAAGGGUGAUCCAGCCAUACCGCGUGGGUGAGAAAGGCCUUCGGGUUGUAAAGCCCUUUUGUUGGAAGAGAAAAGCAGCAGGUUAAUAGCCCGCUGUUCGGACGGAACCGAAAGAAUAGGCACCGGCAAACUGCGU
rnacentral:rRNA from 1 species